UGCAGUCGACGGUAACAGGAAGAAGCUUGCUUCUUUGCUGACGAGUGGCGGACGGGUGAGUAAUGUCUGGGAAACUGCCUGAUGGAGGGGGAUAACUACUGGAAACGGUAGCUAAUACCGCAUAACGUCGCAAGACCAAAGAGGGGGACCUUCGGGCCUCUUGCCAUCGGAUGUGCCCAGAUGGGAUUAGCUAGUAGGUGGGGUAACGGCUCACCUAGGCGACGAUCCCUAGCUGGUCUGAGAGGAUGACCAGCCACACUGGAACUGAGACACGGUCCAGACUCCUACGGGAGGCAGCAGUGGGGAAUAUUGCACAAUGGGCGCAAGCCUGAUGCAGCCAUGCCGCGUGUAUGAAGAAGGCCUUCGGGUUGUAAAGUACUUUCAGCGGGGAGGAAGGGAGUAAAGUUAAUACCUUUGCUCAUUGACGUUACCCGCAGAAGAAGCACCGGCUAACUCCGUGCCAGCAGCCGCGGUAAUACGGAGGGUGCAAGCGUUAAUCGGAAUUACUGGGCGUAAAGCGCGCGUAGGUGGUUUGUUAAGUUGGAUGUGAAAUCCCCGGGCUCAACCUGGGAACUGCAUUCAAAACUGACUGACUAGAGUAUGGUAGAGGGUGGGUGGGAAUUUCCUGUGUAG
rnacentral:rRNA from 1 species